UAAAUUCAACAGUUACAUUUAAGUUAACAUUUUACAUUGAAAAUUUUUUUUUAUGAUAAUUCUUUUUUAGAAUGGAACCAUAUUCAGAAAAUAUUAAAAAUGACAUCUUUAGAAAAAUUAUUUAUGUUAAAAAAUAACUAUUAUAUGAAAAAGGAAAGAAGUAAUAUUUUUUUUUUCAAAAAUAGUUUCUGAAAAUUACGUGCAAGUCGAUCGAAAAAUUAAAUAAUUUUUUUGUUUUAAAAAAUUACAAAAUUACACUUCCACUGUACCAUUUCUAUACACUUUUCUAGGCAAAUGAAUAUAAGGAAACUUUUGGAGAAAAAUGGAAAGGAUGGAAAAUUGGUGAAUAUUUUCAAAUGAUUUAAAUAGGGCCUUCGUUUUUCACGCAUUCCACAAAUACACUUGCCCCCCUGAAAGUAUUAAACCGAUUCCCAAUUUGGCCCUUAAUCUAUUUAAUAAUUGAACAAGCAAAACCAAGCAUUGAUACCAUCCAAACUUAUACGCGGGAAAUGCAAAAUCACCAAGUCACAAAUAAUACAAAUUACAAACCCUUCCACCUUACCGCAAGGGAUCAGAGAAAGAGACGAGACCCACCCCCUAUACACCAAAACCACCACAACCGCCACAAACACCAUAACCAUCAAAUCACCUACUUACCCACCAGAUACGCCACAAUUGGUCCACCACAAACACCGUCAUAAAUCAUAUAGACAGAAAAGGAAAUAGUUGAGAGAGAUACAAACCCCCAUCACACCCACACCACCGUCCAACCGAAUCCACCAUCACACCAUCAAUCACACACAGACGCGAGUGAGAAAGCCUAAACCAUAAAUGUACUACCGCUUGAAUCAACCACCACCAAAAGAAUAGCAUCACCACCGCAUGAAUCAAAACCGACGUCGACUGAACCGUGUACACCACCGUCUGAAUCAAACACCCGCCACCGCCUCAAUAGAAUUCUUGUGUUUGAAAUCGAACCACCACCACACACCCCCCCACACACCCCGCGCUCUCUCUGUAUGUGUGUUUUUGCUAUGUGUCUUUUGGGUGCUGAUUUGGUUGAUGGUUUGAUUGGUCGGUGUUUUUGAUGGGGUGUUUGGGGUUGGUUUUGCGUGUGGGUUUAGUAUGGGUGUGGGGAUGAUAUAGGUAGAAUGUGGAUUGUAGUGGUUUGUGGUAGUGAUCCUACUUUCAUGUCCGAAUUCUGGUUUUUGUUUUGAAUCUGGUUGCUUACAUGGCGCUUAAGUGGGGUCUGUGGCGCCCAAAUCGAUAAUAAAUUGGAUGUUGCUAGUGCUUGGUGUUGUUUGUAACGAAUUAAAUAGUUAACGUCAAAGUUAGAAAAGUUUUUGUUUGAGGGCUCAAUAUGGGAAUUGAUCAAUACUUUUAAGAGGAAAGUAUCUUUGAACCUUAGUUUUAUUAAUCUUGAUGGUUUUGAUCUAAGCCAUCAAAAUGGCUGAUAUUUAUAAGACAAAAUGACAGUUUAUCAAGGGACAAAGUGACAGUUAGAGGCAGCUAUGCCUUAUAACUUCUAGAGGCAGAAUUUUAAGUGCUUGAGGCAGUUAAUUAAUUUUCCUUUUGUUUUAUUUUGGUGUUUUGCUAUUUUGGGCACUGUUCACAUUUAUGCAAAACACUAUCAACACACAUCAUAAUUAUUGGGCGUCAUUGUAUUUUGGGAGACGGUUUGCCUUGACCAUUGCACACCAGUGAUGGGGCACUUCACGUCUUAAGAAGAGCAGAUUAAACGUGCCUUGAAGUAUUCUGAUUUUAUCAACACUUGCAUCUAUCCAUCCAGUUUCUCUAACAAAAACCACUCCCCUUAUUUUCAUUAUAGUGCAUUCCUAUGGUUGUGAAUUUUGUUUUCUCCUUGAUAGGAACAAGUUAGACCACUCCCUAUUUUUUUUCUCUUUUUUUCUACGGAAUUCAAGUGAAAAAUUGGUAAAAACUUAUUUGAUCCUAAGACUUUUACUCUGCUUUCAGUGAAUCUUCUAACAAAAUUCCCACUUUUUCCAAAAAUUAGAUUUGAGGGUAAACCCCCACUAAUCCUUACUUUUAAAAAAAGUUGGAAAAAAAUGAAGUUUGAUUGAAAGAUUGGUGAAUUCUUGAUUUGAUGAACAAUUUUGUUCCCCCUUCUUUUGAUUUAAAUUUGGUGAAAGGAUUGGAGAGUGGGUGGGGGGGUGGGGGGGCUUUCCAGUAAAUUUAAACUAUUUUUAUGAAGUUUGAUGUUGGUUUGGAGAUCCCUUAAGGUUCAGUUUAUGGGGGACCUCAAUUACUUUUCUCCACUCACCUUAGGCUACUAUGGUUUAUACCCAUUAAUUACAUUUACAACUAUUUAGCUUGAUGCCAUGUGUUUUUCUUCUAUUUAUGAAGACUUCUAUUAGAAGUUGUCCGAGUGGUACAUGUUUUUUUUGGCGGAGGGUGUAUAUGACCAGAAGUUGAUUCUUUUUCUCAGUUGUGAUUAGCAGUGAGUGACAAUCCUUUAGACUCUUGAAUUGGAACGCGUGUAAAAAUGUGUUCCUGUUAGAUUUGUCGAAUUGCGUGUGUCAGUGCCACAGUUGUGCAUGUUAGACCGUGAGUUGGGACAUGUUUGUUUGUUCUUCGUAUCACGAGAUUAGAGAGUCGAUGAUAUUUGUUAUGUUUUUAUGAUAGAGUGAUUAAGAGUAGGUUUGCUAUUAUAUGCUUGUGUUCUACACUAUCUUUUUCCCUCCCCCUCCCCAAAUUUCCUAUUUUUCGAGAGUGUCAAUGUGUGAGUGGGUUGUCUAAUUUACAUGGAGAUUUGAUGCCCAAAUUUUUAAGAUUUCCAAAUUUAGAAUUAUUUUUUGGACUUUUUUAUUCAUACUCCUCUAGGUUUUGGAAUCUAGUACGUGACAUCCUUCAAGCACAAUACGAUUUUCAUUACAUAAAAGAAAGAACUUUAUACGGUUUUUUAUUAUAUAAAAAGAAAAAAAACUUUAUAAUCGAUACCCAUUUAGAAAAUCAGUGAGGUGAAAAACCGCAAUGUAUGUUUUUCAUGAAGAAUGUUGUAGAUGGUAAGUUAAUUAUUCCUCCAUUUCCCUUUCUUAUGUUUGUACCGUUUUCGAGGUCAUCGUCCUCCACUUCCCCUCCUUAGGCAUGUUACAACCCAAUCACACCGUUCUCCUGGCUUCUAGGUUGACAACCUCACACCACUCCUUCUAGAUAUGUCCCCGCCCACCCCCACCCACACACACGACUCUAGGAUGGCAUAAUCUCGCCUCAGUCAACACACCAACACUCUAAAAUAAGUUAAAACACAUAACCACUCAAUCCACAAACACCAACUAGUUUAUGUCCCUUCACAUACUAAAAAUGUUAACACAUCAAAACCAACACCCAAUUAUACCAACUAGUUUAUGUCUUCACAUUAACUAAAAAUGUUAACAACAUCACCAAACCAUCCCACAAUUAUACCAACUAGUUUAUGUUCUUCACAUUAACUAAAAAGUUAUACGAAGCAUAUAUAUCCCUGAAAGCACAUAACUCAGCAAUCAUGAGUUAAGCCCUCGCCAACUUCAACACAUAAAUGUAUUUUUCUACAUUAAAUAAUUAGCCACUCAACGAAUCAACCAUACGCUUUAUGAUAUGUCUUUCGCUUUUUCAAAAUUAAUAAAUCAAGUUAAAAAUCCCUACCACAAGCGAGUGCUGCGAGAACUCAUUCCGCCGCGAUCAAUGGAAUCCUAACCGUACCCGCCAAGGCAUUAGCACAUGUGUGGCUGAUCUCGCCUGACCGAUUUGUGUCUGUGAUGAGCUCUUGUUUGGCUGGAGGAUAUGGGAGGGGAUAACUUUUAGAGGGGGGAUAAAUUUUAGACGGGAUAAUUUUUUAGAGGGGGGAUAACUUUUAAUUUUGUUUGGAUACUUUUAGAAUGGGUGGAGAUCAGGAAGACAUAAUAUAGAGAGAACCAAACUAUAACAUCUUUAGUUUAUUAAAUAUAUAUUUUAUUCUUCCUCUCUAUAUAAAAAAUUAUACAUUUUAUUUAUCUUUAUCCUUUUUUUUUUCUUAUCCCCCACCUCCUUAUCCUGUAACUUUUAAUUAAGGUCUAUACCACCCAAAAAUUUAUCCUCCUUUUCCACCUCGAGGCAUUAAAUAUUCUGGGACAUAAAUUAUCCUGCCUCCAUAUCCGCCAGCCAACACCGGAAGGAAAAAUUAUCCGGAAAAAGUUAUCCCUCUCCUUAAUCCGGUAGCCAAACAGCCCCCUGAGACCAAAAUUUAGGGCAAAAGGAAAAAAAAUAGAAAAUUGGGGAAAUUGGGGAAAGGGGGAAAGGGAAAUGCGUUCCCGUGGUGGUGGUGAAGUUUGUGAGAGAUAGUGAGAGCGAACCGUGAGGAGAGAGAGAGAGAUAGAGAGAGAGAGAGAGAGAGGAGGGUGGGAUGGUGUGCGAUGGUGGUCACCGUGCGCGAUUUCCUGCAGUGGUGUCCGGCGAUUAGGGAGAAGAGAGCGAGCGAGCGAGCGAGAGCGAGACGUUGAAUUGCAGACCAAGAAAUAGGUCUCGCUGAUUGGGGGCUCUGUUAUAGCCCUAAUUACGCUACAGUAUCCUUAAUUUUAUAGUACAUCCCAUUUUGAUCCUUGAUGUUAAAUUACUUCAUUAGGUCCCACAAUCAUUCCGAAAAAAAUAAACAUAUUCAAAUGAUCUCCUAGCUAUUCCCCAACUCAUGAUUGGGUUAAAAAAAAUAUACUGGCAGCAGAUACAUGAAUUUGUUUGUUGUUUUUUAUUUUUUUUAGAAUAAAAUUUUAUUAUUUUUCUUUUUUGUCGAUAAAAACGACCUCUCCUUUCAAAGUAAAUAUAAUAAAUUGAGUAUGAGUUUUUAGUACAUGGGUCCACCUCCUCUUGGACACUCCACAUCACUACCACUCGGACACCCCUUGUCCUUGACACAAAUCCCUUUGGAAGACACAUUAGGAUUUCUUGUCAUGGCCAUGUAUCCCACAAUCUUUCCAAGGCAUGUUCAACGUCGGACUAAACAUUGGUCAAGCAAACCAAAUCCCUUCUUCAAGCAUAUUUAAUCACCAAUUCAGAAUGGGUUCAAUAAAAUAAGUGCUAAAGUGUUUUUUUCUUCUGUUUUAGAUAGGGAAAGAUAAGUAAUAUUGAGGCAAAGAAGGUAUCUCAUCCAGCACCUUACUUGAAGAUGCUCAAAGCCAGGAUACAAAGUAAAUUACUUGAAUGCUUAGAGUUGGUUGUAUUUUUCACUGCAGGAAUAGAUAAAACAGUUAGGAGGUUAAUUCACCUCGUAGAAUCAAAAAUAUUGUACUCACAACGUCCGCUAGAAUUGCUAUAAAGGAAAGGUUCAUAGUUAAUUUUCAUCUCCUCCCCGAUCCCGACAGAUUAAAAUUUGACUACUUUAUCCCCAUUUUCCACGGGUAUCAAAUUUUCCACCCCGUCUCCAUUUUUUGUUACUUUUUUUUUUCUUCAUCGACUACAAACUAAUUACAUUCAAAUAUGACAACUAGUAAAACUAACAUAAUAACAAGUAAAUAACUUCCACUUAGUAAAAAAAGACUAUUGUUUAUGUCUUAUAUAUUUGUCAAUUUUUAUUAUUAAAUAUGCAAAAUAUAUAUUAAUUAAUAUAAAUAUAAUAAAUAAAUAUAUAUUACUCAGCGGGGAGGAGUCGGGAAAGGUAUUGGGAAGAGGCAAGUAAAAUUAUCCCCAAAUUUUUUUUUAUAUUUUUCUCCCUCCCCGGAAAGUAUCCAAUUGUCACCCCAAUCGAGUAGGGUUGAGUGGAGUUUAUGAAUCAUCUUUAUCUAAUUCACUCUCAAAUGAGUUGCUUUAGUACGUCUUGCAAUUUUUUCUAUGAUUUUUUUAAAUUUCUAUUUUUGUGUUUGGCUUUUUACCAAAAAUUUAUUUAUAUUUAAUUAUAAGAAAGGUCCGUGUAUGGUGGCCCCAACAGUCAUCUCAUCAUUUGACAUACAAUAUUUGAAAAAACUAAUUUGUAAUUAAAAAUUUUCUUCAAUCAUAUGUAAUUUACUGGAGUUUAGCUAAUAAGAACUUUGUAUCAUUUAUUAGCAGCCACAUGCAUGAAUGGUAUUUGUGCUUCUCUUACUCCUUUACGCAUUCUGAAAGUUCUCCGCUGCUUCACACUCGUUUUUCACUCCAUUGCCUUGAAUGUGAUAAGUGGUCAUUUUUUUAAUAUCUGCACCGAAAUUUGAUAUUUUUUUGACAGACUUGUCAUGAGUUUGAGGCUUUUAGGUAUUACACCACUUAUUGAGAAAAUUGUUGUUGUAAGCUAACUACCAGCAUCUGAGAGUUCUCACGUCUGAAAAAUUAUCAAUCAAUGACUCACUUGAGUACUACAACAACUUAAACAAGUUUGGAAGGGAGCUAGGUAGGCUCUUUUAUUUCGCUUUACUUUUUAUAAUGGUUUAACUUAUUGAGUACUUAUGUCGAAUAGCUCUUUUAACUUUUCUGGCACUUUGUUAUUUUUAUAAUUUUUUAUAAGAAUUAGUUGAUUAUGUUUAAUCCUAAUAAAUAAAGAUUAGCGAAAGAUUUUAAUUAUAAUCAGAUCAAAAAUCUGAAUUUAAAUUGUCACAGUUAAGAUGAUAAGAUUUAAAUGUUACCCCGAGUCAAACCCUAAGAUUUUUUUUUUGUAAUUUUUUGCAAUAAUUUUUCAACACGAUAAUGAAGCAGUGGAGUACCUAUACUCAAAUCUUCACUAAUAAAAUGACACAAAUUUCUUUUUAAAUUAAUAUACAUCCCUGGUCAGUGUCCCUUUGUUCGGUUUUUCACCGUCCUUACCUAAUAAUCUAGAUUUGAGACUAAAAACACCGAGUCCCGUGAAAGGAAAAAAAAAAAGAUAAAAAUAAAAUAUAUACGAGGGAGGAGAAACCCCUUAGCUAUAUGGUUUCAUAUCAAAUUGAACCUUAAUUAAAAUAUACAAUGACUAAAAUUGUUUAACUUAUCUACACAUGGUUUGAGCAUGCCGUCUAUUGGGUUUUUUAUUCGGAGAAUCUCGAAGUAUUGGAAGAUUGGGGCCUCGAAUUCCCGACAAAUGUGAAAAAAUAUGGAGAAAUAUCACUACUGAAUUUGAAAAUGGGAAAAAAUUGUUUUUAAAACUUUUUCUACAAGUGGUUUUAAGUCUAGAAUGUUCAUUUCCAAUACGUCCACCUUAAUUAAAAAUAUUGCCAUACUCAAUCGUUUAACUUUUUUCUACAAGUGGUUUACGUCUGUGAGUUUUUUAUUCGGGGAAAGUCCAUACGUACACCUUAUUAAAAUUUAGGAGGUGGCCAUGACUAAACUUUGUUUUAACUUUUUCUACAAUGGUUUCAAGUCUAGUAGUUUUAUUCGGGAGAAUCUCAUAUGAGUGGAAAUAGGGACUCAUGUCAUAUUACAAAGGGGAAAAUAGAAGGGAAAUUCAACUACAUGAUUUUGAAAAUGGAAAGAAAUUCAAACAAUUUUGCCCCGUCUUCGUCUUUCCUUUCAUAUUCAAAAACUUCGAUUUAAAGCCAUGCUCCUAUCAUUUCUCUCCCUCUCCCAUCCUUUUCCUCUCGUUUCUAUCGACAGGAGAAAAGACUCCUACACCAAUAUCCCUGGGGUCUUUCAAAUCAUUCUGCUUUUCUCUUGCACUCUAUUUCACUAGUUGUUUUACGACUCCUUUUUCGAUCCGUAGAGAGGUUUAGUAACCAAAAGAGUAGGCUAUGGAUUUUAGUUGUAGUUUUGAAGGGGUGUGCAAUUGAAGGGAGAUUAGGUAGUUAGAGGGAGAUUUAUGGGCACUCAUCCAUGUGAAAUCUGUGUUCGGUGCAAUGUGCAUAUAUGCUCAUAUUUUAUUAAUAUCAUAUGAUCAUUGCCCCCUCCCUGCUCGCAAGUGGAGCUAGGACAUAGGUGAGACCUUCUUGAUGAGUAGGAUGGCUACAUAUACAGUGAUGGCAAUGGAGGAAAGAAAAUUGAGAGACGAAAGAUAUGGAGGAGAAGAGAGAAAAGAGACAGUGGGGUGAUGUAGCAACUACAGGCGAUCUUAUAUUUUUUUGACAUGUUGCGAUGACAAGAAGGGCAAAACGCCUAUGCUUUCCCUCAAAUUCAAAUAUUCCAUGGGGGAUUCGAUUCCUAGCCCCCUCUUUUCUCAGUCUCUUGUUAUCCAUUUUUUUAAAAUAACUUUGUGCUCAUUUGCAAGUUCCGGCUUUGUCAGUGGAGUUUUCUUAUUGUCAAGUCAUUUGUUCCUGGGGGCAAGUCAGAUGUACACGGGGGCAGUCAGGGUCUAUGUGGGUGCCGUUGCCUUGCACCCAAUCACAAAUAACUUACACCAAGAAAAUUCACAUUACAAAAAAAAAACUGCACACCUCUAAUGACCAAAAAAAAAACGCCACCUUUGGUGGCAAUGUUGAUUUGAACCUUUCGUGACUUGCACCAAAACAAAUUUCCAAAUGUAUAAAAAAGAGAAUUUACCCAUUGGGCAAAAGACAAGUCUUACGAAGACGAGCAGUAUAGUGGUGAACGGCAACAUGUUGGAAUGGAGGCGAUGACCACGUCGAGUUGGUGGCGACCAAUGGCUCAGAGUAUGGUUUGGUUGCAAUUCAGUUUGUAGUAGAGUAUUUUUCGUAUGUUGGAGUAGGGGCAGAGGGGGGGGAGGAAGAGACAAAUGGGGAUGCUUUAAAUCCAUCAAUUUUCACUGAGGAAAACGUCCUCAUCUGUCACUUCCAUGGCUUGAUAUUUGUCUAGUUUAUUUCCAUUCAACUAAUGUUCAAUAGAGUUGACCCCAUAAAGAUACUAUCUUUGAAAAAAUUAUUUCAGUGGUAAUUUAGAACUUAUGUCCAUUUUAGCGUCUCAUAGUCAUACCUAUAAUAAUAUCAAUCACUGAGGUGGAUGAUUCAUGCAUUUUCAAUGUUAUUUACCAAUAUAUUUUCCCCCACACUUUGGAACAUUUAUAUACUUAUUGAUUCUACUUAACCAUUAUUUUACAAGGUGUUUUAACUAUUUUGCAGGUAGCAAUGGAGCAUAAAAAGAUGUCAAAAGAGGCAAGGAAUUGAGCCUGGAGUGAUAGUAGUUGUUUGCACUAAAUUUAGGAUUUUUCCAAGUUUCUAGUUGAACCUUGAGGUUCUAACCGAUAGAAGAGAGCCAGAAGCAUUAUAAACAAUGAUGAACCGUCGAAACCAUCUUAAUCAGUAGAAUAGGAGCAGAGUAUCAAAUGGAUUGUCCAAACCGUUUAAACCUUUAGUUCUACCGUUGAAUGCAGCAGAGGUCAAAACUAAAUUCCACCGAGGGGGGGGUGGGGGGGGGGGGGUUGAAAACUAAUCCUCAACCUAUGAGCUAGAAGUAAAGGAGAACUGAACCUUUUGCAUUGAAUUGUUCUUCUCACCGAUUGAGAUUGAAGAAGCCAAGAAUGAAAUAUGAAGCUCGACCGCUUGGAAAUUCCAACGCAUUUGAAUCAGGUUGCGAACACCUCAAAGUCACAAGAGUUUGUCUUUCAAGGGUGUUUUUUGUCCUUUCACUCCUGCAUCUCCAGUAUGGAGGAAAUCCCAGUAUAUAAAAGGCUUAAAACUCAGUGUAGAAUUUUUUGAGAGAUUUUAGUCUUGAAGAUAUCUCUCCUUUCCUACUACUUUACUUUUUCAAGUUUCUUAAAUCAAAUAUUAUUUCUAGUCAUAGCUUGAGAGAUUGGACGGAAGAGAAAGAUUACUUGUUUUGGAAUUUAAAACUUGUAAUCUUGUUCCUACUUUUGCUACAAUUCAAAUAGUUGUAAUUUUACUUAAAUUUAAUUUGGAUUUUGAAUUUCUAUUGACUAUCAUUCCUCUUCCAUUCUUGUUGUUAAUUCCUCUUCCAUUCUUGUUGUUAAUUACUUUAGUUUUAAUGCUAGUAAUUCAUGUGUUGUUUCAAGUUUUGCUCGCCCAUGGCUUGGCCAAGAACUAUGUUUGUCUUCCAAAUCUUAAAAUGAAUUUGACUUCUUCUCUCCCUUUACCUAGUUUUCAAUGCUUAUUUUUAGGUCGAUGCAUGUUGUUCUUAAAAUUAAAUUUUGAGUUGUAUACAUUUUUAAUUAAUUUAUCAACAGUACAUUUGGUAAAGUAAUGCUUGGAUCCCUUGUACUCUAAGGGGACGUUUGGUAAUAUUUUUACUUUCUGUUUUUUUGUGUUGUUUUAUAUUUUUUAGUUUUAUUUUAUGUUUUUAUAAAACAGAAACUAAAAAUAUAUUUGUAUUCACCUUUUUUAAACAUGUUAAAUACAAAAAAUAUUUUUAUUUUUACAGUUUUUUGAAAUUAUUUUAAAAAAGUAGUGGUCCGGUGGUGUGGAGACGGAGAAUCAUAGAGGAGGAGUAGUGGUGUGGGGUGGUGGUGGUGGCGGAGACAAGAUGUAAGGAGGUGGUGUUGGGGCAUCGUGGCGGUGAGGGGAGUGGUGGCGGUGGUGGCGUGGCGGCGUGGGUGGUGGUGGGUGGUGGAGUUGGGUGGAUGAGGUUGGCUGAGAGGGAAUGUGGAUGAAAAUUUUUUAUUCAAAACAAAACACCUUUUUUUGUUUCACUAUUUUUUAAAAUAAGUGGUAGUAAUUUUGUCUAUUUACGAUUAUAAAUAGCACAUAAACAAGUUUUUAUUUCCGGUUAAAUUAAAAAACAGAAAAAAUAAAUAAUUAAUAAAUAUCACUUAGUGUUUGAACAUUGUAAGCCAUUAACCGAUCCAUAAACACAUAUUUUGUCAAAACUAUUUCAUUGUAAAAUCCUUUAACCAAUAUUAUUAUGUCUUGAAAGUUGAUCAAGUACAAUCAAGAGAAAAAAAUUAAACAUCUAAAUUAGAAGAAAGACUAGAUACUUGGACCAUACCAUUUUACAUUUAUAGUUUACAUUUCAUCUACAUAAUUUUGCAAAACUAUCAAAACAAUCAUUUUUAUAAUUUCUUGACUUACAAUAAAAACUUAGGCUCCAUUUGGUAAUACUUAAAAAUCAAGUUUUUUUUAAGUUUGUUAUCAAAAAAGUCAAGUUUUUUUUUUUUUUUUUGCUUUUGUGGCUUUACUUUAGAUAAAAUUAAGUAAAAAAUCAAAAACAAAAAAGUAAAAAAGUCAACUUUGAUUGCCUUUUUUGCUUAUUUUUAAGAAAAAAUCUCAAAAAAUGAAAAAAAUCUGUGCGCGAAACGAACUUUAAUCUUGCAUUUCUAACUCAUGUGAAAAUAUUCUAGGACUUCCAAAUUUGUACUGCAUUGAUAUUUUAUCUACGAUUUGGAGUUACCAAAUAAUUUUAAUUACAUGGUCAAUGAGCCAUUUUUAACUCUUUUGACUUAAGCACCGUUUUUCCGUAAUAACAAAGGUUCUCGUUUUUUAUUUCACAACUUUGUCUUUUCAGUGGAAGAAAGGAUAAAAUUAAUCCAAUGAUGCAUGUAUGAUAUUAUUUAGAAGUUACUACCUUCAACCGAUAUUAUUAUGAUUAAUUUAAAUCUAUUUUACCGCCAAAUUGAAAAUUCUCCCUGUAAUCUUGUCUAGACUUCUAUACAAUAUAUUCCCACGGUUUUUCUUGUUGCAAUUGAAUGAAAGCAAGUGGCCUUUAAUUAUUUUCGCUGUUUUCUCUUGAUCAACUUGCUUAUUAUUUUAUUUCACAAUGUUGGAAAUUUUUAUUAAUUUUUAAGAAAUUUACGAUUUUUUAAAUUUUUUUUAAUAAUAUUUAACCAACCAAAAAAAUAAUGUAAUAUAUAAAGAGAUAACUUGAAAACUGUAACGAUUAUUUUGCUCUAAAUUGGAUUUCCCUACUUUGGUUUAUUUCUUAUACAUCAUAACUCUGAUUCCCAUCUCUCUCCAGUACCAAAAAUCUCACUUCUCUCCCAACUUCCUCUUGUUCUCUCUCUCUCUCUCUCCUCUCCUCUUCUCUCCUGUGUGUUUCUUCAAUGGCUACUCCAAUCGACACCCCCAAAAGGCCUCCAUCUCCAGCUCCGAAUUCAAAUUCAACUACGACAUUUUCCUGAGGCUUUCGAGCUAGACACCCGAAAAAAAUUCCCCGAUCACUCUACCCGCCCUGAACGCGCCGGCUCCCGAGCCUUCCGAGACGACGACGAGAUCAGGAGGUCAGAGAACAUCAAUUCCGAGUUUAAACAGAGAGCGAUCAAUACUCCAAGAUGUCGGUGAUCGUGUUCUCGGACCAUUACGCAUCUUCACAAAUGCUUGCCUCUUCGAGGUUCAGACGAAUUCUGGAACAUUGUAAAGAAGUCGGAUCACUUCAUUUUGCCGGGUUGUUACUGAUGUGGAUCCGGGGAGAGGAAGGAGUCAGGCGAGAAGAUCUGGAGAAGAAUGAUUCGUCGAGAAGACGAAGGACGACGGAGUUGCGGCGCUCAAGAGGUUGCGAUUAUGGCUGGGAUGUUUUGCAAAAUCAAUAGGAUGGGUAAUUCCCUCCAAUCCUAAUUUUAUUUUGUCACUCUUCUCUUAUCCCAAGAAUUGAGGUGUGGUUUCAGUUUUGGAAUGAUUUUGCGGAAUGUUNNNNNNNNNNNNNNNNNNNNNNNNNNNNNNNNNNNNNNNNNNNNNNNNNNNNNNNNNNNNNNNNNNNNNNNNNNNNNNNNNNNNNNNNNNNNNNNNNNNNUCAUUCCAAAACUGAAACCACACCUCAAUUCUUGGGAUAAGAGAAGAGUGACAAAAUAAAAUUAGGAUUGGAGGGAAUUACCCAUCCUAUUGAUUUUGCAAAACAUCCCAGCCAUAAUCGCAACCUCUUGAGCGCCGCAACUCCGUCGUCCUUCGUCUUCUCGACGAAUCAUUCUUCUCCAGAUCUUCUCGCCUGACUCCUUCCUCUCCCCGGAUCCACAUCAGUAACAACCCGGCAAAAUGAAGUGAUCCGACUUCUUUACAAUGUUCCAGAAUUCGUCUGAACCUCGAAGAGGCAAGCAUUUGUGAAGAUGCGUAAUGGUCCGAGAACACGAUCACCGACAUCUUGGAGUAUUGAUCGCUCUCUGUUUAAACUCGGAAUUGAUGUUCUCUGACCUCCUGAUCUCGUCGUCGUCUCGGAAGGCUCGGGAGCCGGCGCGUUCAGGGCGGGUAGAGUGAUCGGGGAAUUUUUUUCGGGUGUCUAGCUCGAAAGCCUCAGGAAAAUGUCGUAGUUGAAUUUGAAUUCGGAGCUGGAGAUGGAGGCCUUUUGGGGGUGUCGAUUGGAGUAGCCAUUGAAGAAACACACAGGAGAGAAGAGGAGAGGAGAGAGAGAGAGAGAGAACAAGAGGAAGUUGGGAGAGAAGUGAGAUUUUUGGUACUGGAGAGAGAUGGGAAUCAGAGUUAUGAUGUAUAAGAAAUAAACCAAAGUAGGGAAAUCCAAUUUAGAGCAAAAUAAUCGUUACAGUUUUCAAGUUAUCUCUUUAUAUAUUACAUUAUUUUUUUGGUUGGUUAAAUAUUAUUAAAAAAAAUUUAAAAAAUCGUAAAUUUCUUAAAAAUUAAUAAAAAUUUCCAACAUUGUGAAAUAAAAUAAUAAGCAAGUUGAUCAAGAGAAAACAGCGAAAAUAAUUAAAGGCCACUUGCUUUCAUUCAAUUGCAACAAGAAAAACCGUGGGAAUAUAUUGUAUAGAAGUCUAGACAAGAUUACAGGGAGAAUUUUCAAUUUGGCGGUAAAAUAGAUUUAAAUUAAUCAUAAUAAUAUCGGUUGAAGGUAGUAACUUCUAAAUAAUAUCAUACAUGCAUCAUUGGAUUAAUUUUAUCCUUUCUUCCACUGAAAAGACAAAGUUGUGAAAUAAAAAACGAGAACCUUUGUUAUUACGGAAAAACGGUGCUUAAGUCAAAAGAGUUAAAAAUGGCUCAUUGACCAUGUAAUUAAAAUUAUUUGGUAACUCCAAAUCGUAGAUAAAAUAUCAAUGCAGUACAAAUUUGGAAGUCCUAGAAUAUUUUCACAUGAGUUAGAAAUGCAAGAUUAAAGUUCGUUUCGCGCACAGAUUUUUUUCAUUUUUUGAGAUUUUUUCUUAAAAAUAAGCAAAAAAGGAAUCAAGUUGACUUUUUUACUUUUUUGUUUUUGAUUUUUUAUUAAUUUUAUCUAAAGUAAAGCCAACAAAAGCAACAAAAAAAAAAACAACUUGACUUUUUUGAUAACAAACUUAAAAAAAACUUGAUUUUUAAGUAUUCCCAAAUGGAGCCUAAGUUUUUAUUGUAAGUCAAGAAAUUAUAAAAAUGAUUGUUUUUAUAGUUUUGCAAAAAAUUAUGUAGAUGAAAUGUAAACUAUAAUGUAACAUGGUAUGGUCCAAGUAUCUAAGUCUUUCUUCUAAUUUAGAUGUGUAAUUUUUUCUCUUGAUUGUACUUGAUCAACUUUCAAGACAUAAUAAUAUUGGUUAAAGGAUUUUACAAUGAAAUAGUUUUGACAAAAUAUGUGUUUAUGGAUCGGUUAAUGGCUUACAAUGUUCAAACACUAAGUGAUAUUUAUUAAUUAUUUAUUUUUUCUGUUUUUUAAUUUAACCGGAAAUAAAAACUUGUUUAUGUGCUAUUUAUAAUCGUAAAUAGACAAAAUUACUACCACUUAUUUUAAAAAAUAGUGAAACAAAAAAAGGUGUUUUGUUUUGAAUAAAAAAUUUUCAUCCACAUUCCCUCUCAGCCAACCUCAUCCACCCAACUCCACCACCCACCACCACCCACGCCGCCACGCCACCACCGCCACCACUCCCCUCACCGCCACGAUGCCCCAACACCACCUCCUUACAUCUUGUCUCCGCCACCACCACCACCCCACACCACUACUCCUCCUCUAUGAUUCUCCGUCUCCACACCACCGGACCACUACUUUUUUAAAAUAAUUUCAAAAAACUGUAAAAAUAAAAAUAUUUUUUGUAUUUAACAUGUUUAAAAAAGGUGAAUACAAAUAUAUUUUUAGUUUCUGUUUUAUAAAAACAUAAAAUAAAACUAAAAAAUAUAAAACAACACAAAAAAACAGAAAGUAAAAAUAUUACCAAACGUCCCCUUAGAGUACAAGGGAUCCAAGCAUUACUUUACCAAAUGUACUGUUGAUAAAUUAAUUAAAAAUGUAUACAACUCAAAAUUUAAUUUUAAGAACAACAUGCAUCGACCUAAAAAUAAGCAUUGAAAACUAGGUAAAGGGAGAGAAGAAGUCAAAUUCAUUUUAAGAUUUGGAAGACAAACAUAGUUCUUGGCCAAGCCAUGGGCGAGCAAAACUUGAAACAACACAUGAAUUACUAGCAUUAAAACUAAAGUAAUUAACAACAAGAAUGGAAGAGGAAUUAACAACAAGAAUGGAAGAGGAAUGAUAGUCAAUAGAAAUUCAAAAUCCAAAUUAAAUUUAAGUAAAAUUACAACUAUUUGAAUUGUAGCAAAAGUAGGAACAAGAUUACAAGUUUUAAAUUCCAAAACAAGUAAUCUUUCUCUUCCGUCCAAUCUCUCAAGCUAUGACUAGAAAUAAUAUUUGAUUUAAGAAACUUGAAAAAGUAAAGUAGUAGGAAAGGAGAGAUAUCUUCAAGACUAAAAUCUCUCAAAAAAUUCUACACUGAGUUUUAAGCCUUUUAUAUACUGGGAUUUCCUCCAUACUGGAGAUGCAGGAGUGAAAGGACAAAAAACACCCUUGAAAGACAAACUCUUGUGACUUUGAGGUGUUCGCAACCUGAUUCAAAUGCGUUGGAAUUUCCAAGCGGUCGAGCUUCAUAUUUCAUUCUUGGCUUCUUCAAUCUCAAUCGGUGAGAAGAACAAUUCAAUGCAAAAGGUUCAGUUCUCCUUUACUUCUAGCUCAUAGGUUGAGGAUUAGUUUUCAACCCCCCCCCCCCCACCCCCCCCUCGGUGGAAUUUAGUUUUGACCUCUGCUGCAUUCAACGGUAGAACUAAAGGUUUAAACGGUUUGGACAAUCCAUUUGAUACUCUGCUCCUAUUCUACUGAUUAAGAUGGUUUCGACGGUUCAUCAUUGUUUAUAAUGCUUCUGGCUCUCUUCUAUCGGUUAGAACCUCAAGGUUCAACUAGAAACUUGGAAAAAUCCUAAAUUUAGUGCAAACAACUACUAUCACUCCAGGCUCAAUUCCUUGCCUCUUUUGACAUCUUUUUAUGCUCCAUUGCUACCUGCAAAAUAGUUAAAACACCUUGUAAAAUAAUGGUUAAGUAGAAUCAAUAAGUAUAUAAAUGUUCCAAAGUGUGGGGGAAAAUAUAUUGGUAAAUAACAUUGAAAAUGCAUGAAUCAUCCACCUCAGUGAUUGAUAUUAUUAUAGGUAUGACUAUGAGACGCUAAAAUGGACAUAAGUUCUAAAUUACCACUGAAAUAAUUUUUUCAAAGAUAGUAUCUUUAUGGGGUCAACUCUAUUGAACAUUAGUUGAAUGGAAAUAAACUAGACAAAUAUCAAGCCAUGGAAGUGACAGAUGAGGACGUUUUCCUCAGUGAAAAUUGAUGGAUUUAAAGCAUCCCCAUUUGUCUCUUCCUCCCCCCCCUCUGCCCCUACUCCAACAUACGAAAAAUACUCUACUACAAACUGAAUUGCAACCAAACCAUACUCUGAGCCAUUGGUCGCCACCAACUCGACGUGGUCAUCGCCUCCAUUCCAACAUGUUGCCGUUCACCACUAUACUGCUCGUCUUCGUAAGACUUGUCUUUUGCCCAAUGGGUAAAUUCUCUUUUUUAUACAUUUGGAAAUUUGUUUUGGUGCAAGUCACGAAAGGUUCAAAUCAACAUUGCCACCAAAGGUGGCGUUUUUUUUUUGGUCAUUAGAGGUGUGCAGUUUUUUUUUUGUAAUGUGAAUUUUCUUGGUGUAAGUUAUUUGUGAUUGGGUGCAAGGCAACGGCACCCACAUAGACCCUGACUGCCCCCGUGUACAUCUGACUUGCCCCCAGGAACAAAUGACUUGACAAUAAGAAAACUCCACUGACAAAGCCGGAACUUGCAAAUGAGCACAAAGUUAUUUUAAAAAAAUGGAUAACAAGAGACUGAGAAAAGAGGGGGCUAGGAAUCGAAUCCCCCAUGGAAUAUUUGAAUUUGAGGGAAAGCAUAGGCGUUUUGCCCUUCUUGUCAUCGCAACAUGUCAAAAAAAUAUAAGAUCGCCUGUAGUUGCUACAUCACCCCACUGUCUCUUUUCUCUCUUCUCCUCCAUAUCUUUCGUCUCUCAAUUUUCUUUCCUCCAUUGCCAUCACUGUAUAUGUAGCCAUCCUACUCAUCAAGAAGGUCUCACCUAUGUCCUAGCUCCACUUGCGAGCAGGGAGGGGGCAAUGAUCAUAUGAUAUUAAUAAAAUAUGAGCAUAUAUGCACAUUGCACCGAACACAGAUUUCACAUGGAUGAGUGCCCAUAAAUCUCCCUCUAACUACCUAAUCUCCCUUCAAUUGCACACCCCUUCAAAACUACAACUAAAAUCCAUAGCCUACUCUUUUGGUUACUAAACCUCUCUACGGAUCGAAAAAGGAGUCGUAAAACAACUAGUGAAAUAGAGUGCAAGAGAAAAGCAGAAUGAUUUGAAAGACCCCAGGGAUAUUGGUGUAGGAGUCUUUUCUCCUGUCGAUAGAAACGAGAGGAAAAGGAUGGGAGAGGGAGAGAAAUGAUAGGAGCAUGGCUUUAAAUCGAAGUUUUUGAAUAUGAAAGGAAAGACGAAGACGGGGCAAAAUUGUUUGAAUUUCUUUCCAUUUUCAAAAUCAUGUAGUUGAAUUUCCCUUCUAUUUUCCCCUUUGUAAUAUGACAUGAGUCCCUAUUUCCACUCAUAUGAGAUUCUCCCGAAUAAAACUACUAGACUUGAAACCAUUGUAGAAAAAGUUAAAACAAAGUUUAGUCAUGGCCACCUCCUAAAUUUUAAUAAGGUGUACGUAUGGACUUUCCCCGAAUAAAAAACUCACAGACGUAAACCACUUGUAGAAAAAAGUUAAACGAUUGAGUAUGGCAAUAUUUUUAAUUAAGGUGGACGUAUUGGAAAUGAACAUUCUAGACUUAAAACCACUUGUAGAAAAAGUUUUAAAAACAAUUUUUUCCCAUUUUCAAAUUCAGUAGUGAUAUUUCUCCAUAUUUUUUCACAUUUGUCGGGAAUUCGAGGCCCCAAUCUUCCAAUACUUCGAGAUUCUCCGAAUAAAAAACCCAAUAGACGGCAUGCUCAAACCAUGUGUAGAUAAGUUAAACAAUUUUAGUCAUUGUAUAUUUUAAUUAAGGUUCAAUUUGAUAUGAAACCAUAUAGCUAAGGGGUUUCUCCUCCCUCGUAUAUAUUUUAUUUUUAUCUUUUUUUUUUUCCUUUCACGGGACUCGGUGUUUUUAGUCUCAAAUCUAGAUUAUUAGGUAAGGACGGUGAAAAACCGAACAAAGGGACACUGACCAGGGAUGUAUAUUAAUUUAAAAAGAAAUUUGUGUCAUUUUAUUAGUGAAGAUUUGAGUAUAGGUACUCCACUGCUUCAUUAUCGUGUUGAAAAAUUAUUGCAAAAAAUUACAAAAAAAAAAUCUUAGGGUUUGACUCGGGGUAACAUUUAAAUCUUAUCAUCUUAACUGUGACAAUUUAAAUUCAGAUUUUUGAUCUGAUUAUAAUUAAAAUCUUUCGCUAAUCUUUAUUUAUUAGGAUUAAACAUAAUCAACUAAUUCUUAUAAAAAAUUAUAAAAAUAACAAAGUGCCAGAAAAGUUAAAAGAGCUAUUCGACAUAAGUACUCAAUAAGUUAAACCAUUAUAAAAAGUAAAGCGAAAUAAAAGAGCCUACCUAGCUCCCUUCCAAACUUGUUUAAGUUGUUGUAGUACUCAAGUGAGUCAUUGAUUGAUAAUUUUUCAGACGUGAGAACUCUCAGAUGCUGGUAGUUAGCUUACAACAACAAUUUUCUCAAUAAGUGGUGUAAUACCUAAAAGCCUCAAACUCAUGACAAGUCUGUCAAAAAAAUAUCAAAUUUCGGUGCAGAUAUUAAAAAAAUGACCACUUAUCACAUUCAAGGCAAUGGAGUGAAAAACGAGUGUGAAGCAGCGGAGAACUUUCAGAAUGCGUAAAGGAGUAAGAGAAGCACAAAUACCAUUCAUGCAUGUGGCUGCUAAUAAAUGAUACAAAGUUCUUAUUAGCUAAACUCCAGUAAAUUACAUAUGAUUGAAGAAAAUUUUUAAUUACAAAUUAGUUUUUUCAAAUAUUGUAUGUCAAAUGAUGAGAUGACUGUUGGGGCCACCAUACACGGACCUUUCUUAUAAUUAAAUAUAAAUAAAUUUUUGGUAAAAAGCCAAACACAAAAAUAGAAAUUUAAAAAAAUCAUAGAAAAAAUUGCAAGACGUACUAAAGCAACUCAUUUGAGAGUGAAUUAGAUAAAGAUGAUUCAUAAACUCCACUCAACCCUACUCGAUUGGGGUGACAAUUGGAUACUUUCCGGGGAGGGAGAAAAAUAUAAAAAAAAAUUUGGGGAUAAUUUUACUUGCCUCUUCCCAAUACCUUUCCCGACUCCUCCCCGCUGAGUAAUAUAUAUUUAUUUAUUAUAUUUAUAUUAAUUAAUAUAUAUUUUGCAUAUUUAAUAAUAAAAAUUGACAAAUAUAUAAGACAUAAACAAUAGUCUUUUUUUACUAAGUGGAAGUUAUUUACUUGUUAUUAUGUUAGUUUUACUAGUUGUCAUAUUUGAAUGUAAUUAGUUUGUAGUCGAUGAAGAAAAAAAAAAGUAACAAAAAAUGGAGACGGGGUGGAAAAUUUGAUACCCGUGGAAAAUGGGGAUAAAGUAGUCAAAUUUUAAUCUGUCGGGAUCGGGGAGGAGAUGAAAAUUAACUAUGAACCUUUCCUUUAUAGCAAUUCUAGCGGACGUUGUGAGUACAAUAUUUUUGAUUCUACGAGGUGAAUUAACCUCCUAACUGUUUUAUCUAUUCCUGCAGUGAAAAAUACAACCAACUCUAAGCAUUCAAGUAAUUUACUUUGUAUCCUGGCUUUGAGCAUCUUCAAGUAAGGUGCUGGAUGAGAUACCUUCUUUGCCUCAAUAUUACUUAUCUUUCCCUAUCUAAAACAGAAGAAAAAAACACUUUAGCACUUAUUUUAUUGAACCCAUUCUGAAUUGGUGAUUAAAUAUGCUUGAAGAAGGGAUUUGGUUUGCUUGACCAAUGUUUAGUCCGACGUUGAACAUGCCUUGGAAAGAUUGUGGGAUACAUGGCCAUGACAAGAAAUCCUAAUGUGUCUUCCAAAGGGAUUUGUGUCAAGGACAAGGGGUGUCCGAGUGGUAGUGAUGUGGAGUGUCCAAGAGGAGGUGGACCCAUGUACUAAAAACUCAUACUCAAUUUAUUAUAUUUACUUUGAAAGGAGAGGUCGUUUUUAUCGACAAAAAAGAAAAAUAAUAAAAUUUUAUUCUAAAAAAAAUAAAAAACAACAAACAAAUUCAUGUAUCUGCUGCCAGUAUAUUUUUUUUAACCCAAUCAUGAGUUGGGGAAUAGCUAGGAGAUCAUUUGAAUAUGUUUAUUUUUUUCGGAAUGAUUGUGGGACCUAAUGAAGUAAUUUAACAUCAAGGAUCAAAAUGGGAUGUACUAUAAAAUUAAGGAUACUGUAGCGUAAUUAGGGCUAUAACAGAGCCCCCAAUCAGCGAGACCUAUUUCUUGGUCUGCAAUUCAACGUCUCGCUCUCGCUCGCUCGCUCGCUCUCUUCUCCCUAAUCGCCGGACACCACUGCAGGAAAUCGCGCACGGUGACCACCAUCGCACACCAUCCCACCCUCCUCUCUCUCUCUCUCUCUCUAUCUCUCUCUCUCUCCUCACGGUUCGCUCUCACUAUCUCUCACAAACUUCACCACCACCACGGGAACGCAUUUCCCUUUCCCCCUUUCCCCAAUUUCCCCAAUUUUCUAUUUUUUUUCCUUUUGCCCUAAAUUUUGGUCUCAGGGGCUGUUUGGCUACCGGAUUAAGGAGAGGGAUAACUUUUUCCGGAUAAUUUUUCCUUCCGGUGUUGGCUGGCGGAUAUGGAGGCAGGAUAAUUUAUGUCCCAGAAUAUUUAAUGCCUCGAGGUGGAAAAGGAGGAUAAAUUUUUGGGUGGUAUAGACCUUAAUUUAAAAGUUACAGGAUAAGGAGGUGGGGGAUAAGAAAAAAAAAAGGAUAAAGAUAAAUAAAAUGUAUAAUUUUUUAUAUAGAGAGGAAGAAUAAAAUAUAUAUUUAAUAAACUAAAGAUGUUAUAGUUUGGUUCUCUCUAUAUUAUGUCUUCCUGAUCUCCACCCAUUUCUAAAAGUAUCCAAACAAAAUUAAAAGUUAUCCCCCUCUAAAAAAUUAUCCCGUCUAAAAUUUAUCCCCCCUCUAAAAGUUAUCCCCUCCCAUAUCCUCCAGCCAAACAAGAGCUCAUCACAGACACAAAUCGGUCAGGCGAGAUCAGCCACACAUGUGCUAAUGCCUUGGCGGGUACGGUUAGGAUUCCAUUGAUCGCGGCGGAAUGAGUUCUCGCAGCACUCGCUUGUGGUAGGGAUUUUUAACUUGAUUUAUUAAUUUUGAAAAAGCGAAAGACAUAUCAUAAAGCGUAUGGUUGAUUCGUUGAGUGGCUAAUUAUUUAAUGUAGAAAAAUACAUUUAUGUGUUGAAGUUGGCGAGGGCUUAACUCAUGAUUGCUGAGUUAUGUGCUUUCAGGGAUAUAUAUGCUUCGUAUAACUUUUUAGUUAAUGUGAAGAACAUAAACUAGUUGGUAUAAUUGUGGGAUGGUUUGGUGAUGUUGUUAACAUUUUUAGUUAAUGUGAAGACAUAAACUAGUUGGUAUAAUUGGGUGUUGGUUUUGAUGUGUUAACAUUUUUAGUAUGUGAAGGGACAUAAACUAGUUGGUGUUUGUGGAUUGAGUGGUUAUGUGUUUUAACUUAUUUUAGAGUGUUGGUGUGUUGACUGAGGCGAGAUUAUGCCAUCCUAGAGUCGUGUGUGUGGGGUGGGGGUGGGCGGGGACAUAUCUAGAAGGAGUGGUGUGAGGUUGUCAACCUAGAAGCCAGGAGAACGGUGUGAUUGGGUUGUAACAUGCCUAAGGAGGGGAAGUGGAGGACGAUGACCUCGAGAACGGUAGCAAACAUAAGAAAGGGGAAAUGGAGGAAUAAUUAACUUACCAUCUACACAUUCUUCAUGAAAAACAUACAUUGCGUUUUUCACAUCACUGAUUUUCUAAAUGGGUAUCGAUUAUAAAGUUUUUUUCUUUUUAUAUAAUAAAAAACCGUAUAAAGUUCUUUCUUUUAUGUAAUGAAAAUCGUAUUGUGCUUGAAGGAUGUCACGUACUAGAUUCCAAAACCUAGAGGAGUAUGAAUAAAAAAGUCCAAAAAAUAAUUCUAAAUUUGGAAAUCUUAAAAAUUUGGGCAUCAAAUCUCCAUGUAAAUUAGACAACCCACUCACACAUUGACACUCUCGAAAAAUAGGAAAUUUGGGGAGGGGGAGGGAAAAAGAUAGUGUAGAACACAAGCAUAUAAUAGCAAACCUACUCUUAAUCACUCUAUCAUAAAAACAUAACAAAUAUCAUCGACUCUCUAAUCUCGUGAUACGAAGAACAAACAAACAUGUCCCAACUCACGGUCUAACAUGCACAACUGUGGCACUGACACACGCAAUUCGACAAAUCUAACAGGAACACAUUUUUACACGCGUUCCAAUUCAAGAGUCUAAAGGAUUGUCACUCACUGCUAAUCACAACUGAGAAAAAGAAUCAACUUCUGGUCAUAUACACCCUCCGCCAAAAAAAACAUGUACCACUCGGACAACUUCUAAUAGAAGUCUUCAUAAAUAGAAGAAAAACACAUGGCAUCAAGCUAAAUAGUUGUAAAUGUAAUUAAUGGGUAUAAACCAUAGUAGCCUAAGGUGAGUGGAGAAAAGUAAUUGAGGUCCCCCAUAAACUGAACCUUAAGGGAUCUCCAAACCAACAUCAAACUUCAUAAAAAUAGUUUAAAUUUACUGGAAAGCCCCCCCACCCCCCCACCCACUCUCCAAUCCUUUCACCAAAUUUAAAUCAAAAGAAGGGGGAACAAAAUUGUUCAUCAAAUCAAGAAUUUCACCAAUCUUUCAAUCAAACUUCAUUUUUUUCCAACUUUUUUUAAAAGUAAGGAUUAGUGGGGGUUUACCCUCAAAUCUAAUUUUUGGAAAAAGUGGGAAUUUUGUUAGAAGAUUCACUGAAAGCAGAGUAAAAGUCUUAGGAUCAAAUAAGUUUUUACCAAUUUUUCACUUGAAUUCCGUAGAAAAAAAGAGAAAAAAAAUAGGGAGUGGUCUAACUUGUUCCUAUCAAGGAGAAAACAAAAUUCACAACCAUAGGAAUGCACUAUAAUGAAAAUAAGGGGAGUGGUUUUUGUUAGAGAAACUGGAUGGAUAGAUGCAAGUGUUGAUAAAAUCAGAAUACUUCAAGGCACGUUUAAUCUGCUCUUCUUAAGACGUGAAGUGCCCCAUCACUGGUGUGCAAUGGUCAAGGCAAACCGUCUCCCAAAAUACAAUGACGCCCAAUAAUUAUGAUGUGUGUUGAUAGUGUUUUGCAUAAAUGUGAACAGUGCCCAAAAUAGCAAAACACCAAAAUAAAACAAAAGGAAAAUUAAUUAACUGCCUCAAGCACUUAAAAUUCUGCCUCUAGAAGUUAUAAGGCAUAGCUGCCUCUAACUGUCACUUUGUCCCUUGAUAACUGUCAUUUUGUCUUAUAAAUAUCAGCCAUUUGAUGGCUUAGAUCAAAACCAUCAAGAUUAAUAAAACUAAGGUUCAAAGAUACUUUCCUCUUAAAAGUAUUGAUCAAUUCCCAUAUUGAGCCCUCAAACAAAAACUUUUCUAACUUUGACGUUAACUAUUUAAUUCGUUACAAACAACACCAAGCACUAGCAACAUCCAAUUUAUUAUCGAUUUGGGCGCCACAGACCCCACUUAAGCGCCAUGUAAGCAACCAGAUUCAAAACAAAAACCAGAAUUCGGACAUGAAAGUAGGAUCACUACCACAAACCACUACAAUCCACAUUCUACCUAUAUCAUCCCCACACCCAUACUAAACCCACACGCAAAACCAAACCCCAAACACCCCAUCAAAAACACCGACCAAUCAAACCAUCAACCAAAUCAGCACCCAAAAGACACAUAGCAAAAACACACAUACAGAGAGAGCGCGGGGUGUGUGGGGGGGUGUGUGGUGUUGGUUCGAUUUCAACCACAAUAAUUCUAUUGAUGCGGUGGCGGGUGUUUGAUUCAGACGGUGGUGUACACGGUUCAGUCGACGUCGGUUUUGAUUCAUGCGGUGGUGAUGCUAUUCUUUUGGUGGUGGUUGAUUCAAGCGGUAGUACAUUUAUGGUUUAGGCUUUCUCACUCGCGUCUGUGUGUGAUUGAUGGUGUGAUGGUGGAUUCGGUUGGACGGUGGUGUGGGUGUGAUGGGGGUUUGUAUCUCUCUCAACUAUUUCCUUUUCUGUCUAUAUGAUUUAUGACGGUGUUUGUGGUGGACCAAUUGUGGCGUAUCUGGUGGGUAAGUAGGUGAUUUGAUGGUUAUGGUGUUUGUGGCGGUUGUGGUGGUUUUGGUGUAUAGGGGGUGGGUCUCGUCUCUUUCUCUGAUCCCUUGCGGUAAGGUGGAAGGGUUUGUAAUUUGUAUUAUUUGUGACUUGGUGAUUUUGCAUUUCCCGCGUAUAAGUUUGGAUGGUAUCAAUGCUUGGUUUUGCUUGUUCAAUUAUUAAAUAGAUUAAGGGCCAAAUUGGGAAUCGGUUAAUACUUUCAGGGGGGCAAGUGUAUUUGUGGAAUGCGUGAAAAACGAAGGCCCUAUUUAAAUCAUUUGAAAAUAUUCACCAAUUUUCCAUCCUUUCCAUUUUUCUCCAAAAGUUUCCUUAUAUUCAUUUGCCUAGAAAAGUGUAUAGAAAUGGUACAGUGGAAGUGUAAUUUUGUAAUUUUUUAAAACAAAAAAAUUAUUUAAUUUUUCGAUCGACUUGCACGUAAUUUUCAGAAACUAUUUUUGAAAAAAAAAAUAUUACUUCUUUCCUUUUCAUAUAAUAUUUAUUUUUUAACAUAAAUAAUUUUUCUAAAGAUGUCAUUUUUAAUAUUUUCUGAAUAUGGUUCCAUUCUAAAAAAGAAUUAUCAUAAAAAAAAAUUUUCAAUGUAAAAUGUUAACUUAAAUGUAACUGUUGAAUUUAAUCAUUUUCCUUUUCGUCUAACCAAAUCUCAAUCAAACCACAUAAGCAUUAGGGGGUGCGUAUAAAUUACCAUCCCUUGAUUUUGCAAAACACUCCUAGCCAUACUUGCAAUCUCUUUGAGUCGCCGCACUCUGUCAUUUCUCCUUCUCCGUCUCCGUCUCCGCUGCGCUUCACUCUCCGCCGGAGCCACAUCGUAAAACACCGGAAAACUACAGGGAUCUACUUCUUGUUCACUGUCUCCAGAAUCGUUUGGACCUCGAGAUGCGUAAUCUUUCGAGAACACGAUCGCUGACCAUCUUCAAUUGCUUGAUCACUCGCCGUAACUCGGAAUUAUGUUCUUUGACCUCCUGAUUUUAUCAUCGUCUUGAUCGUUUUAGAAUUCGCCGUUCUGGCGUGGUUAGAGGCAGUGGUGAAGGUUUUUUUUCAGUGGUCUAAUCCUCGAAAGUUCCCUGAAAAUGUCGUAGUUGAUUUGAAUUCGAGCUGGAGCGGAGAGAACUGGAGUAGCCAUUGAAAGAAUAGAGGAGAGAGGAUUAUUGGGAGUGGAGAAGAUUUGGGGGGUGAAAACACUUACUUUUUUAUCAUCUUCUAAUUCCAGAUCAAUCAACCCAAGAUUUACGUUUCGGCUAAUAAAUAAGAUUUUACGUGUUUCGGCCAAUCAAUAAAAUCUCCGUAGUUCGGCCAAUACAUAAGUGUUUCGGCCAUGGUACUUACGUUCACAGUGGGCAUCAAUAAUCCAAUGAGCAUUACAAAAUGAUAUAAAGGAGAAGAAUCACACUCAACUCACCUUCCUCUCAUCACACCAUUCUCAGAAUCCUACUUUUUUUUAUAUUCAUGAUAGACUUAUAACCUGAUACUUAUUAUUAUUAUCCUAUCGAGGUAGAAAAUCUAUUCUAAAUCAAAGACUAACUCAAAAGUUCUCAUCUUUUUAUGAGUCUAAUUGACUCAAAAGUUCUACUCUCAUAUGAACAUUCCAUAUGGACCACCUGAGCAUAAACCAAAUAAUGGUGGGCUGAACUUCAACAAGCAAAUGAAACCAUGUUAGUGAAUUUGAUUCAGUGGUUUUUAAAGUCAAGAAAUAAACGUGGGAAUAAUAGGUGUUUUGUGUAUUUAUAUUGUUAGUGGGUACAAGUCCUUGAACUCUUGCUAGAGGUGGAAGAUGGCCCAAAUUAUCACAGUCUGGAAUAAGUUGGUUUUAUUCGCAAACCACCCACUUCCUCAAUUGCCUACUUAAAAAUGUGGGGUGUGUUGGUUCAAGCCCAUCCUGGAUGAGUCCAAGCCCACUUGAUGAGUCCAAGUCUAGAAGCCAAAGCCCCUGUCCUUAGCCCUAACCCGUUGGAGUUCAUAUGAAGUGUCCAUGGACGGUGAACCGCUUGAGUUAUCUAGAACUUUUGAGCGUGUUUUAUCCCUCUUUGUUUUCCUAGUUUAGUUAGGAUAUGAUUCGGUAUUCUGUUAGAAGUCUACCACGUCCUUCCCUUGGUUUAUAAAGGGAGGGUAGGGUGCUUCUAUUUUCAACUUGCGUGUGCUAUGGGCUUGAGAGUAAGUGCUGGAGGUGAGAUUGAGAGGCAAGACAGAAGAUAGAUUGUGAGAGAGGUUGUGAUUGAGCGAUCCGAGUCUCCUCAGUUGUAAUCCAUUCGUUCGAUAGUGGCUGUUGAUUUCUCUCCGUGGAUGUAGGCAAUCGUUGGCCGAACUACGUAAAUCUUGAUUGUUUUUUGUGUGUGUGUGAUCGGUGAUUUCGUUUUGAGCACAAUAAUUGGUAUCCAGGCCCUAGGUCGAUGCGAUUUCGGAACCCAAGUCGAAAUUCAGGUGCCCGCGAAAGUACUCAAAAUUAAUUUCUAAUUACACCAAGAUGUUCCUCUCGUCGAUACGAAGCUCCAGCACCAAACCACGUCGGAAACGGAGUCCGGACGCGCCCUCACGCGCCACCUGAACAUCGGCGAGUGAGAUCAGUCUCAGUCACGCGCCCUGGGAGGUCCCACGCGCCCGCACGGGCCGGGGAGGAGUUUGCACGCGCAGCCACGCGCCUGUACGCGUGCCCAUGCGCUGCCACGCGCCGGAGGGGUGUAGUUCACGCGCCACGCGCCAACACAUGCGGGCUGACGGUUGACCGUUGACCCAUUGACGGUAAAUUAUAGUUUUAGCCCCUGAAUUUUUUAGUAAUUAUAGUUUGGUCCCUAGAGUUACUGAUAAUUAUAAUUUGGUCCCUAAGGUUUUGGAUAUUUUUAAUUUGGUCCCAGAACUUUUAAUUUUGUCAAUUUGACCCUAGAACUUUCUGAUUUUGCAUAUGGUUUCCAAAGUUUAUGAUUUGAUAGUUUAUCCUUUUCCUGAGGUUUCUGGCAUUUCCAAAUUCACCGCGGGGUUUGUUUUUCGGAGAUUUUACUACUUCUAUUUGGGAAAAUAGAUGGCAUAGCAUAAUUUGGGAUCGAUGAUCUUACUUUCAGCUAUGAAUGAUGCAUAUAGAAAACCAAGGAAUGGAGGACAUCCAUUUUAUAAGGAUUUGCACACCCUUUUGAGAAUAAUGAGACAACUGUAGCGCCGAAGGAUGAGGAAUGAAGAAAUGGAUGAACAGAAGACGUUGGGCAAUCAUACAGUGCAUUGGACACGGGUUUCCAACUAUGUAGCACAUGAGCCAUGCUUAUGAGACAAGUGCUUCCUCAUCAAGUUUGGCUCAAGUGUUCCAACUUGCACCUGUAGCACAUGUGAGACAAUGCGAGAUAUCUCGAACAAACCUUAUGAUGAGGAAGCAUGUGAAGUUGAAGUUUUUUAGAGAGAGACUAACAUGACAGAACAUACGAGGCUAGUUCUAGAAUUUGGUCAAUUCAAUUGACUCAGUGUUGACUUACAGUUUGACGACACGAGAUGCGAGACCUUAUUAGUUUUGAGUCCUUGCCAAAUAGUUGGGAGACAUUGUGGUUUCUCUCACAAUUUAGCGCCGAAUGGAAAGUUGACUAUGAGGCGCCGUCUUGGCAUCAGCUUUUUUUCACUUUUUUCUGACUUUUUGGCUUAAUAUAUGCAAAAAAGCCAAUCAGGAGUUGGCUUUUUUGCUUUUUUUGCUUUUGUUUUUUUUGCUUAGUUUUAGUAAGGAAAGUCACAAAGAAAAAAGUCAAAAAUUCUUCUUGGCCUUAUUGGUAGUAAGCUAAAAAAAACGUUGGCUUUUAAGCAUUACCAACGGAGCCUGGUAUGGUCAGGGAUGCCUUGUUCAUGAGAGGCGCGGAUAGGAGAGAUGGAUGGGUUCGACCGAUCAGAAGUGAGUUGCACCCUAGUCUCAGAGGAAAGAGGAAAUAGGUCGAGGUCAAGGAAGAGAUCAUCACAAAGGUACUGUGAAAAGGACCGGUGAGGUCACAAAACAGAUAGGUCACACUGUUAGGUUGGCUUUAUGUGCAACCAGGAAGGGCAUAUCAAGAGGGAUUGUCCAAGUAUAAAGCAACAUGAUCAGUCUUCAUAUACAAGCAGUCGCAACAAUGAUGCUGUGGAUGAGAUGAGAUUCACUUUCUCCUAGCAGCAUCGGAAGAUAGAAAGUCGAUUGGGUACUUGAUCAGCAGUGCUUUACCACUUGUGCACGAGAUAGAGGGUGUUCUCUACAUAUACACCAUGCGAGGGACGUUAUGGAUGGCAAAACAACAUAGCUAGCAGAGUUUGUUGGCAAAGGAUCAUUCCGGUUACCGCAUGACAGACGGUAGGGCUGGUGUCGUUGACUGGGUAAGGCAUGUUCCUAAUCUACGAAAACAUUUAAUUUUCUAAUUGGGAUGCUAUCGAGUUCAAAUGGGAUGUAGCUUUGACGCUAGUGGAGGAACUCUGAGAGUUUCAAGGAAAACAAUGAGAUGCCUGUAGGGGAAAGGAAGCCUUGAGGGGCUAUACUGUGGAGGGGAUUGUCCAGACAGGGGAAGUACUGUCCGACAGGGGUCCAGUGUAUUAGCAAAGAAGAGUGGACAAUGGAAGCAAUCGUUGCACAGAGCUACGACCAGCAAGCGCCAUGGGUACUUGGGGGAUCCGUAAUGGUACCGAGGAUCCAGAAGUGAGUGUGGUACAAGAGUGUAGGGAGAUGUUUGAGAUAUGUACGGACGUCUGGACCAGACAGAGUGGUGACAAUUAGUGACAGGAUUGUCCAUAGAAAAGCUCAGAGAAAGGAGGACAAAAAGUCGAUUUGAAAAGUGUAUAGGGAAAGGCGCGGCGGACGCCGAAGCAAGUCUCUUCGCCACUCGAUUGAUCAGUGGCGGUGAUCUCUCCAGUUGUGCGCACACAAAGAGGAGAGCAUGGAGCCAUGACAAAACUUGCAAAGUGACGUACUUUGCGGGCAGCACACCCCGGUGGGGGGUUGGUGAGGAAUCCCAGUGGGGGGGUGCAGGGGCAACAUCCGGUGAGAAGGUGCAGACACUUCGGGUGAGAGGUGCAUACACUUCGGUGGAAAGUGGAGUAGUCCGUUAAUGAGGGCUAAGUAUAUAGGAUGCGGUCUUGCAGUCUUAUGGGAGAGCUGGAUCAGAAAGAUGUCAGGAAGGACAACUUGAAGAACAUCGGAUACCUACAGUGAGGCUGGAGGGGGAGAUUGUUGAGGUCCAGCCCAUCUAGAUGAGUCCAAAGCCACUUGGAUGAGUCCAAAAGUCCAGGAGCCCAAGCCCUUAGCCCGGUGGAGUAGUUAAUAGAAGUGUCCAUGUGUGACGGUGAAUGUUGAAUGAAACUCUCGAGUUAUCUUAGAACUCUUUGAGAGUGUUUAUCUUUUUGUUUUCCUAGUUAGAUAGGAUAAUAAUUAGUAUUCUUAGGAGUCUACCACCUCCCUUCCCCUUGGUCUAUAAAGGGAGGGAGGGUGCUUAAUUUUCAACGUCAUUGUACUGUUGGCUGAGAGGCAUGUUGUGGUGAGAUUGAGAGAAAGACAGAGAGAUUGUGAUAGGGUGUGAGUUUGAGUGAUCGAGUCACCUCAGUUUAAUUCAUUCGUUUGAUGUGGAUUUGUUGAUUUCUCUCCGUGACGUAGGUAUCGUUUGUUGCCGAACCACGUAAAUCUUGUUUGUCUUUUGUGUGCGUGUGAUCGGCGAUUCGUUUUUAUGAGCAUAACAGGGUUGGGGAGGGCUUGUGAUGGGGGAACUGGGUGGGUGGGCUUGCGAUGGCUGGGGUAGGGGUUGGGAGCGUCGGCAAUGGUGCGUGAAGUGGUAGAGGGUGGUGGCUGAGGUUAGGUUAGUG
rnacentral:lncRNA from 1 species